rnacentral:rRNA from 1 species
UCCGUAGGGCGCAAGCGUUGUCCGGAAUCAUUGGGCGUAAAGCGCGCGUAGGUGGCCCCAUAAGUCCGCUGUGAAAGUCCAGGGCUCAACCCUGGGAUGCCGGUGGAUACUGUCGGGCUCGAGUCCGGAAGAGGAGUGUGGAAUUCCUGGUGUAGCGGUGAAAUGCGCAGAUAUCAGGAGGAACACCAAUGGCGAAGGCAGCACUCUGGGACGUGACUGACGCUGAGACGCGAAAGCGUGGGGAGCAAACAGG